rnacentral:rRNA from 1 species
GAUGAACGCUGACAGAAUGCUUAACACAUGCAAGUCGACUUGAAUUUGGGUUUUUAACUUCGGUUUGGGUGGCGGACGGGUGAGUAACGCGUAAAGGACUUGCCUCACAGCUAGGGACAACAUUUGGAAACGAAUGCUAAUACCUACUAUUAUGAUAAUAGGACAUCCUAUAAUUAUGAAAGCUAUAAGCGCUGUGAGAGAGCUUUGCGUCCCAUUAGCUAGUUGGAGAGGUAACGGCUCACCAAGGCGAUGAUGGGUAGCCGGCCUGGGAGGGUGAUCGGCCACAAGGGGACUGAGACACGGCCCUUACGCCUACGGGAGGCAGCAGUGGGGAAUAUUGGACAAUGGACCGAGAGUCUGAUCAAGCAAUUCUGUGUGCACGAUGAAGUUUUUCGGAAUGUAAAGUGCUUUCAGUUGGGAAGAAACAAAUGACGGUACCAACAGAAGAAGUGACGGCUAACUACGUG